rnacentral:rRNA from 1 species
GAAUUCGCCCUUAGAGUUUGAUCCUGGCUCAGGAUGAACGCUGGCGGCGUGCUUAACACAUGCAAGUCGAACGAUGACUUUUGUGCUUGCACAAAAUGAUUAGUGGCGAACGGGUGAGUAACACGUGAGUAACCUGCCCUUAACUUCGGGAUAAGCCUGGGAAACCGGGUCUAAUACCGGAUACGACGGAUUCCCGCAUGGGGGUCCGUGGAAAGCUUGAUGCGGUUUUGGAUGGACUCGCGGCCUAUCAGCUAGUUGGUUGGGGUAAUGGCCCACCAAGGCGACGACGGGUAGCCGGCCUGAGAGGGUGACCGGCCACACUGGGACUGAGACACGGCCCAGACUCCUACGGGAGGCAGCAGUGGGGAAUAUUGCACAAUGGGGGAAACCCUGAUGCAGCGAUGCCGCGUGGAGGAAGAAGGUUUUCGGAUUGUAAACUCCUGUCUUAAAGGACGAUAAUGACGGUACUUUAGGAGGAAGCUCCGGCUAACUACGUGCCAGCAGCCGCGGUAAUACGUAGGGAGCGAGCGUUGUCCGGAAUUACUGGGUGUAAAGGGAGCGUAGGCGGGACGGCAAGUCAGAUGUGAAAACCACGGGCUCAACCUGUGGACUGCAUUUGAAACUGUUGUUCUUGAGUGAAGUAGAGGUAAGCGGAAUUCCUGGUGUAGCGGUGAAAUGCGUAGAUAUCAGGAGGAACACCGGUGGCGAAGGCAGCUUACUGGGCUUUAACUGACGCUGAGGCACGAAAGCAUGGGUAGCAAACAGGAUUAGAUACCCUGGUAGUCCAUGCCGUAAACGAUG